UACGGAGGGUGCGAGCGUUGUUCGGAAUUAUUGGGCGUAAAGAGCGUGUAGGCGGUUUGGCAAGUCAGAUGUGAAAGCCCUGGGCUCAACCCAGGAAGUGCAUUUGAAACUGUCUUUCUAGAGUAUGGGAGGGGAGAGUGGAAUUCCCAGUGUAGAGGUGAAAUUCGUAGAUAUUGGGAGGAACACCCGUGGCGAAGGCGACUCUCUGGACCAAUACUGACGCUGAGACGCGAAAGCGUGGGGAGCAAACAGG
rnacentral:rRNA from 1 species